AGAGUUUGAUCAUGGCUCAGGACGAACGCUGGCGGCGUGCUUAACACAUGCAAGUCGAACGAGAGGACAAGAGAAGCUUGCUUCUUUUGGAAUCGAGUGGCAAACGGGUGAGUAACACGUAAACAACCUGCCUUCAGGAUGGGGACAACAGACGGAAACGACUGCUAAUACCGAAUACGCUUGGAAGACCGCAUGAUCUUCCAAGGAAAGGGUGGCCUCUACCUGUAAGCUAUCGCCUGAAGAGGGGUUUGCGUCUGAUUAGGCAGUUGGUGAGGUAACGGCCCACCAAACCUACGAUCAGUAGCCGGUCUGAGAGGAUGAACGGCCACACUGGAACUGAGACACGGUCCAGACUCCUACGGGAGGCAGCAGUGGGGAAUCUUCCGCAAUGGGCGAAAGCCUGACGGAGCAACGCCGCGUGAGUGAUGACGGCCUUCGGGUUGUAAAGCUCUGUGAUCGGGGACGAACGGUCCGUAAGUCAAUACCUUAUGGAAGUGACGGUACUCAACAAGGAAGUGACGGCUAACUACGUGCCAGCAGCCGCGGUAAAACGUAGGUCACAAGCGUUGUCCGGAAUUACUGGGUGUAAAGGGAGCGCAGGCGGGAAGACAAGUUGGAAGUGAAAUCCAUGGGCUCAACCCAUGAACUGCUUUCAAAACUGCUUUUCUUGAGUAGUGCAGAGGUAGGCGGAAUUCCCGGUGUAGCGGUGGAAUGCGUAGAUAUCGGGAGGAACACCAGUGGCGAAGGCGGCCUACUGGGCACCAACUGACGCUGAGGCUCGAAAGUGUGGGUAGCAAACAGGAUUAGAUACCCUGGUAGUCCACACUGUAAACGAUGAUUACUAGGUGUUGGAGGAUUGACCCCUUCAGUGCCGCAGUUAACACAAUAAGUAAUCCACCUGGGGAGUACGACCGCAAGGUUGAAACUCAAAGGAAUUGACGGGGGCCCGCACAAGCAGUGGAGUAUGUGGUUUAAUUCGACGCAACGCGAAGAACCUUACAAAGUCUUGACAUCCUGCGACGGUUCUGGAAACAGAACUUUCCUUCGGGACGCAGAGACAGGUGGUGCAUGGUUGUCGUCAGCUCGUGUCGUGAGAUGUUGGGUUAAGUCCCGCAACGAGCGCAACCCUUAUGGUCAGUUACUACGCAAGAGGACUCUGGCCAGACUGCCGUUGACAAAACGGAGGAAGGUGGGGAUGACGUCAAAUCAUCAUGCCCUUUAUGACUUGGGCUACACACGUACUACAAUGGUGUUAAACAAAGAGAAGCAAGACCGCGAGGUGGAGCAAAACUCAGAAACAACGUCCCAGUUCGGACUGCAGGCUGCAACUCGCCUGCACGAAGUCGGAAUUGCUAGUAAUCGCAGAUCAGCAUGCUGCGGUGAAUACGUUCCCGGGCCUUGUACACACCGCCCGUCACACCAUGAGAGCCGGGGGGACCCGAAGUCGGUAGUCUAACCGCAAGGAGGACGCCGCCGAAGGUAAAACUGGUGAUUGGGGUGAAGUCGUAACAAGGUA
rnacentral:rRNA from 1 species